GAUGAAGAACGUAGCGAAAUGCGAUAAGUAAUGUGAAUUGCAGAAUUCAGUGAAUCAUCGAAUCUUUUAACGCAUCUUGCGCUCCUUGGUAUUCCAUGGAGCAUGCCUGUUUGAGUGUCACGUAAACCCUCACACCAGUGAUGUCAAAGUCUCUGGAAGUGGAUUUGGACUGUGCCGUAGUUGGCUCGUCCUGAAAUACAUUAGCCUGCGUUUUUUAGCGUGCUCGGCAUGGUGUGAUAAUUAUCUGCGCCGUCGCCUUAGGCCGCUUCUAUAUGCGCUGCUUAUAAUUGUCCCUUGCGGACAGACACUAUAAAGCUCUGGCCUCAAAUCAGGUAGGAUUACCCGCUGAACUUAAGCAUAUCAAUAAGCGGAGGA
rnacentral:misc_RNA from 1 species